GUGGGCAUGCCGGAGUGUUUAUCGGGCAUAACUUGAAAUCGUGUGGGCUUUGCCCGCGCAGGUUCGAAUCAUGCUGCUCACG
rnacentral:tRNA from 1 species